GAUAGUGCCUAGGCCUGCCUUAUGGCAGUUUUGAGAAAGGUGAUUUCAGAGUGGCUUCAGAGGGGAUGACUAAAGCCCACAAUCUUGGUCCAAAAUAUCCUAAUCUCCCUACAAAAACGAUUUUCUUGCCUUGGACUAUGUCCAGUCUGCCAACUAGUACAGCUGUUUCUGGUUUUUGACUCACUGAUUUACCUGGCAUGACAUUUCCUCUUGUUUCAAGAUUCUUUCUCUAAGUUCCUCCUGACUCCUCUUUCCCUUUAAGUAUUCCUGAAACUGGCUCUUGCCUGGUCCCUUUAUUUCAUUAUUCUUCCAUCUUGCUGGUAGUAUGGUGGAAAUUGGACAUAGGGUUUGGUGUCAGAUACACCUGCCUUCAAAGCCUAACUGUGCUACCUAUUAGCUCUGUGACCUUGGGCAAGUUAUUUGAACCUAAGUCAUAGAUUUCCCCCUUGCGAAAUGGGAACAAAUGAUUUGUUAUUCUCAGGGAUGUUCACAGACUUGCUUAAAAUAAUAAGAAAAAGUACCUGGCACAUAGCCGAUACUCAAAAAAUGUUAGCACACACCCACACCUUUUUCUUUCUGAUUCAUUUAAGGUAAGCCCUUCCCAAUCGGCCUUCAGCUGACCUGAAUUCCUGGGAUACUGUAUUUGGAAUUUUAAAUAUUCCAAAUAUCCAGAGUUCUUGCAGGUCAAAGCUGGUCUAUGCUCCAAACAGGCUGCCCCCAAGGGAAGCAGGGUAAUUGGCAGCUAGUAUUCAUCUGACUUUUGUCAUAUUGAUUCAAUAUUUUAUCUGAAGAUGGCAGCAACUAGUACAUGGUGCCACCGUUUAGCCACUCCAUGCCAGAGGUACCAGGCAAGUAAAAGCCAAAUUACCAGUGCCUCUGCUCCAUCCUGGAAAUGACAAAGGACAAAGCCAAGGAACCCAGGAAAGUGCAACGGGAUUUGGUUUUAUGCAGCAGGGAAUCUUCUAAGAAAGCCAGGACCGGUUCACCUACGUGUCAUUACCAGUGCAGGCAGCUCAGAGGUCCUUCCCCGGGAGAAGUCAGGGCACCGCGAGAGAGAGCUUAGCUUCCUUCCUUCCUCCAUCCCUCCCUCCCUUCCUUCUGGGACUUAGGUUCCUUCCUUCCUUCCUUCCUUUCUACUUUUCUUUCCUUCCUUCCUUCCUUGGCUUUGGUUCCUUCCUUCCUUCUACCUUCCUUCCUUCCUUCUUUCCUUCCUUCCUGGGCUUAGGUUCCUUCCUUCCUUGGCUUAGAUUCCUUCCUUCCUUCGCCCUUCCUUCCUUCCUUUCUUUGCUUUCCUUCCUUCCUUCCUUCCUUGGCUUAGGUUCCUU
rnacentral:lncRNA from 10 species